GCCCCAUAGUCUGGGAUACCACUUGGAAACAGGUGAUAAUACCGGAUAAGAAAGCAGAUCGCAUGAUCAGCUUUUAAAAGGCGGCGUAAGCUGUCGCUAUGGGAUGGCCCCGCGGUGCAUUAGCUAGUUGGUAAGGUAAAGGCUUACCAAGGCGAUGAUGCAUAGCCGAGUUGAGAGACUGAUCGGCCACAUUGGGACUGAGACACGGCCCAAACUCCUACGGGAGGCAGCAGGC
rnacentral:rRNA from 1 species